UCCCAGGGCCUGAGCCCACAUCUGGAAAGCCAGCCAGUGGCUGGUUCCUCCUGCAGGAGGCUUAGGGCUCUGCUUUGCUCUUGCCAGUGACUGCCCGUCAGGAUCUAGUAUGAGAGAUACCCCAGUGUUGAUGCCUGGUUGUUCCAUUAUGCCAGGACUCCAUGGGGUCUCUGGGCUCUGCCCUGUGGGAAUACCUCGCUACCUGUGCCCAGCCUCCAGCACUGCCUUCUUAGCUGAAGCUACACACCUUUCAGAUUCCUCAGUGUGAUACCCUUCCUAAAACUACUGCCAGCCUAUACCAACCCCAUCAGUGGGUUCAGUCCCACCAGCCUGUUCCAGUCUACCCCUUCUGCCCCAGUCUCCCUGACCAUUCAGGGACAAAGCCUCAGUCACAGCACUCAGUUCAGCCUGGUCCAUCCCACAUCUCCAGAAUUCCAGAGGACAUAGCGAGAGUGGGAUGCCAUAAAUGACUGAAGUCAAGGUUGUAAUGGUCCAGCAACAUUUGCAGAAUCCUGAAAUGGUGCUCCUCAUAGAGAAACCAGGAGCAAAGUUCCAUGGGCCAUGUCCUGUGAUCUAAAGCAACUCUCCAUUAUACAAUGUUGUGUCGAAGGGUUCCUGAUGUCGUGUAGGCCAGAGCCUUCAAGCUUGGAGUUUGCCAGAUAAACCUGGCUGACACUCACAUCCCUGCCUUCUUUUGCACGU
rnacentral:lncRNA from 1 species